GAUAAACGCUAGCGGCAGGCUUAACACAUGCAAGUCGAGGGGCAGCAUAGAUUGUAGCAAUACAAUUGGUGGCGACCGGCGCACGGGUGCGUAACGCGUAUGCAACCUACCCGUCACAGGGGGAUAAUCCGGAGAAAUCUGGUCUAAUACCCCAUAACAUAUGGAUCGGCAUCGGUUCAUGUUGAAAUUUUCGGAGGUUACGGAUGGGCAUGCGUAGCAUUAGCUUGUUGGUGAGGUAACGGCUCACCAAGGCGACGAUGCUUAGGGGGACUGAGAGGUUUUCCCCCCACACUGGUACUGAGACACGGACCGGACUCCUACGGGAGGCAGCAGUGAGGAAUAUUGGUCAAUGGGCGCAAGCCUGAACCAGCCAUGCCGCGUGCAGGAUGACGGCUCUAUGAGUUGUAAACUGCUUUUGUACGAGGGUAAAGUGGGUUACGUGUAACCUUUUGAAAGUCUCGUACGAAUAAGGAUCGGCUAACUCCGUGCCAGCCGCCGCCGUAA
rnacentral:rRNA from 1 species